rnacentral:rRNA from 1 species
UACAGAGGUCUCAAGCGUUGUUCGGAUUCAUUGGGCGUAAAGGGUGUGUAGGUGGCGCGCUAAGUCGGGUGUGAAAUUUCGGAGCUUAACUCCGAAACUGCAUUCGAUACUGCCGUGCUUGAGGACUGGAGAGGAGACUGGAAUUCAUGGUGUAGCAGUGAAAUGCGUAGAGAUCAUGAGGAAGACCAGUGGCGAAGGCGGGUCUCUGGACAGUUCCUGACACUGAGACACGAAGGCCAGGGGAGCAAACGGG